rnacentral:rRNA from 1 species
UUCCGGUUGAUCCCGCCGGACCCGACUGCUAUUUGGGUGAGGAUAAGCCAUGCGAGUUGAAUGGGAAACCUAAAAAUCCCAUGGCAAACUGCUCAGUAACACAUGAUCAACUUACCCUAUAGAGGAAAAUAACCUCGGGAAACUGAGGAUAAUGUUCCAUAGUUGAAUCGGCUUGGAAAAGUUUUUCAAUAAAAGGGAUAAGGAAAAUGGUCCUUAUCUGCUAUAGGAUAGGAUCGUGCUCGAUUAUGGUUGUUGGUGAGGUAAAGGCUCACCAAGCCGAUAAUCGAUAGGGGCCGUGAGAGCGGGAGCCCCGAGAUGGGUACUGAGACAACGACCCAGGCCUUACGAGGCGCAGCAGGCGCGAAACCUCCGCAAUACACGAAAGUGUGACGGGGUUACCCAAAGUGUUCAUUAGAACUGUGGUAGGUGAGUAAUGUUCCCUACUAGAAAGGAGAGGGCAAGGCUGGUGCCAGCCGCCGCGGUAAAACCAGCUCUUCAAGUGGUCGGGAUAAUUAUUGGGCUUAAAGUGUCCGUAGCCGGUUUAGUAAGUUCCUGGUAAAAUCGGGUAGCUUAACUAUCUAUAUGCUAGGAAUACUGCUAUACUAGAGGGCGGGAGAGGUCUGAGGUACUACAGGGGUAGGGGUGAAAUCUUAUAAUCCUUGUAGGACCACCAGUGGCGAAGGCGUCAGACUGGAACGCGCCUGACGGUGAGGGACGAAAGCCAGGGGAGCGAACCGGAUUAGAUACCCGGGUAGUCCUGGCCGUAAACGAUGCAUACUAGGUGAUGGCACGGCCAUGAGCCGUGUCAGUGCCGUAGGGAAACCGUUAAGUGUGCCGCCUGGGAAGUACGGUCGCAAGGCUAAAACUUAAAGGAAUUGGCGGGGGAGCACCACAAAGGGGUGAAGCCUGCGGUUCAAUUGGAUUCAACGCCGGAAAUCACUAGUGCGGGCCGCCUGCAGGUCGACCAUAUGGGGAGAGCCUCCCAACGCGUUGGAUGCAUAGCUUGAGUAUUCUUAUAGUUGUCACCUAAAUAGCUUG